GAUUUCUGAUACGGUGCGCGUGGCCCGCCAUCGAAAGGUGUGCGAGUGUCGCUUGUGCGUCUAUCAUACUGCGAGGGAACCUAUCUCUCACGAGGUAGGAGAACUCGCUCAUUUACUUUGAAGAAAUUAGAGUGUUCAAAGCAGGCUUGCGCUAUGAAUAUAUUAGCAUGGAAUAAUAAUUUAGGACUUUGUUCCUAUUUUGUUGGUUUUAAGGAAUAAAGUAAUGAUUGAUAGGGAUAGUUGGGGGUGCUAGUAUUCACCGGCCAGAGGUGAAAUUCUUGGAUUCGGUGAAGACUAACUUAUGCGAAAGCAUU
rnacentral:rRNA from 1 species